UAGAUUGCAACACUCAUCCUUCUAGCAUUCUUAUAACAAGAAGAGCUGAAGGAUAUAUUUUCAAUUAUAAACAAAGAUCAUGGGCAAUCAUCUAAGUCUUCAACGAAUAUGUUGUACUUCUCCUCAUAGGUGAAGGAUCGUGAUUUCUAUAAAUUCGGACGAUCUCAUCCUCAAAAAUCACAAGAAACAUCAUACAAGCAAAAGAUCAAAGAUAUAAAAAGCAAUCUCAUCCUCAACAUGCUUUCUACUAAUCUUAAUUAUAUCUUUGGAUCAUCCUCUUGGAAAGUAUAUCAUAGUGCAAGAAUCUAUUCUUAUUAAACCUCUCAAAAACUUGUAUAUCCUCAAGUUAAUAUGUGUAAGAUAUGUAAGACACAAAGAGAAAUUGUUUAGGUAAGUCUGGUGAAGCUAAGAAAACACAUAGUGAAAAGAUUCCUUUUAGAGGAUAAGUCUUUUGAGUCAAAGUGAAAACUCACAAUUAAAUGGUAACUGGACAUAAUUCAUUUUUAGUGAACCAGUAUAAAUUUGUGUGUAUCAUUUUCUAUAAUCUCUUAUCUUCAUUUUGUCUAACUAUCAUUUCAACUCUGAACAUUUAUCCUCUAACACCUAUCUAUUAUCCUCACACAAAGGAUACUAUUUUAAAAGAAGAAUAAAACUAAAAAAAGUAGAAUAUCUCUAUUCAACCCCCUCUCAUUUUAGUUACUUCAUGUAUAGCCUUAAAAACAAGACAAU
rnacentral:lncRNA from 1 species